UACGUAGGGUGCGAGCGUUGUCCGGAAUUAUUGGGCGUAAAGAGCUCGUAGGCGGUUUGUUGCGUCGGCUGUGAAAUCCCGAGGCUCAACCUCGGGUCUGCAGUCGAUACGAGCAAACUAGAGUGUUGCAGGGGAGACUGGAAUUCCUGGUGUAGCGGUGAAAUGCGCAGAUAUCAGGAGGAACACCGGUGGCGAAGGCGGGUCUCUGGGCAAUAACUGACGCUGGGGAGCGAAAGCGUGGGGAGCGAACAGG
rnacentral:rRNA from 1 species